GGGGGCGGCAGGGAAGAGUUCCAGGAGGUGUCUGGACAAAGAUUUGAUGGAUGUGCAAGAAUUGGGCUGAUGCUUAGGAGGGGCGAUGAGGUGGGUCCAGAAGAAGGGGGGUGAACGGUGUGAGCAAAGACCGUGAGGCUGGAGGCUGGCCACGGGAGGUGUGAGGGGUAGGGGCAGGGUGGGAGGUGGGCUCGCGGGUGGGCUGGGGUCAUGAAGGGCCUCAGGCGCUCUGCUAUUGGGUUCCAAGGCUAUCCUGAGAACAGGGGUGAGGGGGGAUUGCCGUGGGGGGUUAAAGCCUUGUCAUGUUCGCUUUCGGGAGGUAAAAACAACAGGUGGCCUUUAUGGAGACGCUGCCCAGAGCCAGGUCUGUGCCAGGCUCCUGUUGGGGGUCGUCAUGCGGAAUCCUGACUCUGACCAUCCGAGGCAUAGGGACCGUGGAGAUUUGCAUUUCACAGAUGAGGAAACAGGUUUGGAGAGGUGACACGACGUGUCCCAGGCAUCACAGCCAGGACAGGAUCUGUCCAGCAUCACAGCCGGGAUGUGCAUAGCAGGGGUUUGGAACUACGAGGUGCCCAGGACCCAGGGUUGGAUUGAAAAGGGCGCAGGGGACUAAGAUAAGCAGACAGUUGUCCCCAGCGCUGGGGAGAGUCUUGGGACCAGUCUGAUGCCUUGUAUUUCCCAGGCUCCAGGCUCCUCGCCGGGACAGUGUCUCCUUGGGUGCGUGCUGGAUCCCUGGGGGACGUGGCACAUCCCCAGGCUUGCUAAACAUUGGGCUCUGGUCCUGGGGUUUGGAGGAGGGGGACCCUGGGAGUUGGUGGCCUGUCCCAGCCUGAGCUGGCAAGAUUCCGAAUGCCAGGCCCCUCAAGUGUGCAACAGGGCACAGGGUGACCUCAUGUGGGCAGGUGGGUGCUGUUCUGUACACACCUGGGGCCGCCGCUGGGAGAGUUCUGGAAGGUGGGGUGAGGGGACCCAUGGGAAGCUAGGGCCUUAG
rnacentral:lncRNA from 1 species